rnacentral:rRNA from 1 species
UACAGGGGGGGCAAGCGUUGUCCGGAAUUACUGGGCGUACAGCGCGCGCAGGCGGUCCAUGACGUGCCGUGUGACAGGCGUCGGCUCAACCGACGCAGGCCAGGGUACACGAAUGGACUGGAGGCAGAGAGAGGGAUGUGGAAUACCCGGUGGAGCGGUGAAAUGCGUAGAGAUCGGGUGGAACACCAGGGGCGAAGGCGGCAUCCUGGCUCGUAACUGACGCUCAGGCGCGACAGCGUGGGGAUCAAACAGG